UACGGAGGAUCCAAGCGUUAUCCGGAAUCAUUGGGUUUAAAGGGUCCGUAGGCGGUUUAAUAAGUCAGUGGUGAAAUCUGGUCGCUCAACGAUCAAACGGCCAUUGAUACUGUUAGACUUGAAUUAUUGGGAAGUAACUAGAAUAUGUAGUGUAGCGGUGAAAUGCUUAGAUAUUACAUGGAAUACCAAUUGCGAAGGCAGGUUACUAUCAAUAUAUUGACGCUGAUGGACGAAAGCGUGGGGAGCGAACAGG
rnacentral:rRNA from 1 species